GAUGAACGCUGGCGGCGCGCCUAACACAUGCAAGUCGAACGAUUAAAGCACCUUCGGGUGUGUAUAAAGUGGCGAACGGCUGAGUAACACGUGGGCAACCUGCCCCUUUCAUUGGGAUAGCCACGGGAAACCGUGGAUAAUACCGAAUACUUCGAGACUUCCGCAUGGAAGACUCGAGAAAGCUCCGGCGGAGAGGGAUGGGCCCGCGGCCUGUUAGCUUGUUGGUGGGGUAACGGCCUACCAAGGCAAUGAUGGGUAGCUGGGCUGAGAGACCGACCAGCCAGAUUGGGACUGAGACACGGCCCAGACUCCUACGGGAGGCAGCAGUGGGGAAUCUUGCACAAUGGGCGAAAGCCUGAUGCAGCGACGCCGCGUGCGGGAUGAAGGCCUUCGGGUUGUAAACCGCUUUCAGCAGGGACGAGGCGAAAGUGACGGUACCUGCAGAAGAAGCCCCGGCUAACUACGUG
rnacentral:rRNA from 1 species